rnacentral:misc_RNA from 1 species
UGCUUCUCAAAGAGCAGUUGAUGAAGAGGUGGAGAGUCAUGCUCCACCAAGGGCUGAGUCUGGGGGCAGGGGAGAAUCUGCUCCACCAGCAGCUGAGGCACCUGCCCAACCUCAGUUUGCACUAUUUCAGCGAAUGACCGAGUUUUACCGACAAAUGAUGGGGGCAAUUCCACCACCACAACCACAGCCACAACCUCCACCAGCACCACAGAAGUCCCAUCUGGAGAAACUGCGAAAACAUGGGGCUGUGAAUUUCUUUGGGAAGAAGGAGGAUGAUCACAUGACAGCAGAAAA